rnacentral:rRNA from 1 species
GACGAACCGUGCGAACGUUGUUCGGAAUCACUGGGCUUAAAGGGCGCGUAGGCGGGCUGUCGCGUCUGGGGUGAAAUCCUCCGGCUCAACCGGGGAAGGGCCUCGGGUACGGACGGCCUCGAGGGGGUAGGGGCGUGCGGAACUGUGGGUGGAGCGGUGAAAUGCGUUGAUAUCCACAGGAACUCCGGUGGCGAAGGCGGCACGCUGGACCCCAUCUGACGCUGAGGCGCGAAAGCCAGGGGAGCGAACGGG